CCUACUGCCCCGAACGUGCCUCAUCUCAUCUGUUCUCCGAAGCUAAGCUGGGCUGGGCCUGGUUAGUCCUUGGAUGGGAGACCUUUUUGUUUCUAAUAGCACCCUCUAUUACAUUCAAAAUCUGGCUUGGU
rnacentral:rRNA from 1 species